rnacentral:rRNA from 1 species
AGUGAACGCUGGCGGUAGGCCUAACACAUGCAAGUCGAACGGCAGCACAGUAAGAGCUUGCUCUUACGGGUGGCGAGUGGCGGACGGGUGAGGAAUACAUCGGAAUCUACUUUUUCGUGGGGGAUAACGUAGGGAAACUUACGCUACUACCGCAUACGUCCUACGGGUGAAAGCAGGGGAUCUUCGGACCUUGCGCGAUUGAAUGAGCCGAUGUCGGAUUAGCUAGUUGGCGGGGUAAAGGCCCACCAAGGCGACGAUCCGUAGCUGAUCUGAGAGGAUGAUCAGCCACACUGGAACUGAGACACGGUCCAGACUCCUACGGGAGGCAGCAGUGGGGAAUAUUGGACAAUGGGCGCAAGCCUGAUCCAGCCAUACCGCGUGGGUGAAGAAGGCCUUCGGGUUGUAAAGCCCUUUUAUUAGGAAAGAAAAGCAGCAGGUGAAUACCCCGCUGUUCUGACGGUACCCAAAGAAUAAGCACCGGCUAACUUCGUG